UAGCCAAGGAUGACUUGCCUGCACCAUAUUUGAAAAGGGGUUUCAUAUGUCCUUUCAUUCUUGGGGUCAAGCAGGUCAUCUUUAGCUAACU